UUUGACACCAUAUGCAGUGUAUUAGAUUUAUAGGUACGGCCAAGUAAAGGUACAUGCUCUUCUAAAAUAGAAUAAUAACAUAAAAUAUAAAUAAAUAAAUAUAAGGCAUGAUAAAAUCAUAUGGUAUAAAUUAAAAUAUAUUCGGAUGCAUGUGCAUUUAAAUCAUAUUAUUUAUGUAUGUGCAUACGUAGAUUUGUAUUUCUGGAAUAUCAAAGAGAACACUGGAGCAAAAUCAAAUACUCUCUCUCAUAUGAAUAUGCUUUAAUAUUGAUAUAUUAUAUAUGUACGUAUAAUUUCAUCUCAAUGUAUUAUAUAUGCAAACAUAAAUAUGUAUGUGUGUAUGGGAAAUGUAUAAAACCUAAUUACUAUUGAUAUUUACAUUUACAAAUCAAGCCAACCGUAUUAAAAAAGCACGUUUUGCGCAAAAAUAAAAAUGAGUAUGAUUCUCCUCUAAAACAAACGAGAAUUAUAAGAACCCACUGAUUUUUUGAAAGCUUUAAAUUGUACAUAUAUCUAAAUUUCUCGAGCCAAAGGUAUCUGAAGCCAAUUAUUUUUAGGUUUGCUUUUUAACGCGUUGGCACAAGGUCAAAAAAACGAAUAUUUCAUUUACUUUGAUGUUUCAGUUAGCAUUUUGACAAUCUGCAUAAGAGAAAAUAUACAUACUUGUAUAUAAAGCUUCAUAUGGCAAUCACAAAAACAAAACAAAAUACACAUAAACCAAAUACAUUUACAUAUGACUAUUCUAUCUUAUUUCUUACGUUAAAUUGGUUAGAGUUAUAGUUUUUACAGCCUCUGAUUUUUACACAUGCAUCGACAAUUCUGCGUCAUACUCUUUAUCUCUCUUUAUGGUGACAUAGUAUAUAUUUACGAAUCUUUGUUAUUCAUGUAUAUUUGUACUUGCACAUAUUUUUCCUUGUCUGAGGUUUUCUUAUUAUAUUUGAGUUGAAAAAGAGCAAGUAAGAAAGACAGGUGCAACCGAACAUUUCAUACUCUCGCAAGGAUGACAGCCGGGAAAAUACUUUCAGUUGUUGGCAAAACGUUAUAUUAAACAAAUAUAUGUAUCUGACAUAAACUUAACCAAAGAGGCUAAAUUGAAUAUCUUCAGUUAAUGUGCAAAACGCCAAACAGAUUAGCGAUAUGAGAUUAAGACCAAAAUCUAGACCAACAAACCAAAAGAUCAUUCAUGUUCAGCGCUAAACUAUAUUAAUGGAAUAAAGAAGAUUAUUAUAUGUAGUAUAAUAUAA